GAUGAACGCUAGCGGCAGGCCUAAUACAUGCAAGUCGAGCGGCAAGUUGACAAGCAAUUCGAGACCUAGAGCGGCGUACGGCUGCGUAACGCGUACGCAACCUACCUCAUACAGGCAGAUAGCCCGGAGAAAUCCGGAUUAAUACCUCAUAGUACAACGCGAGGGAAUCUGAGUGUUGUUAAAGACUCAUCGGUAUGACAUGGGCAUGCGUCUGAUUAGCUAGUUGGAGGUGUAACGGACCACCAAGGCGACGAUCAGUAGGGGAUCUGAGAGGAAGGUCCCCCACACUGGCACUGAGAUACGGGCCAGACUCCUACGGGAGGCAGCAGUAGGGAAUAUUGGGCAAUGGUCGGAAGACUGACCCAGCCAUGCCGCGUGCAGGAAGAAGGCGUUCUGCGUUGUAAACUGCUUUUAUCUGGGAAGAAAAGGCCCAUGCGUGGGACAUUGCCGGUACCAGAUGAAUAAGCACCGGCUAACUCCGUGCCAGCAGCCGCAGUAAUAC
rnacentral:rRNA from 1 species